UGGGGAAUAUUGGACAAUGGGCGAAAGCCUGAUCCAGCAAUGCCGCGUGAGUGAUGAAGGCCUUAGGGUUGUAAAGCUCUUUUACCCGGGAUGAUAAUGACAGUACCGGGAGAAUAAGCCCCGGCUAACUCCGUGCCAGCAGCCGCGGUAAUACGGAGGGGGCUAGCGUUGUUCGGAAUUACUGGGCGUAAAGCGCACGUAGGCGGCUUUGUAAGUUAGAGGUGAAAGCCCAGGGCUCAACCCUGGAAUUGCCUUUAAGACUGCAUCGCUAGAAUUGUGGAGAGGUAAGUGGAAUUCCGAGUGUAGAGGUGAAAUUCGUAGAUAUUCGGAAGAACACCAGUGGCGAAGGCGACUUACUGGACACAUAUUGACGCUGAGGUGCGAAAGCGUGGGGAGCAAACA
rnacentral:rRNA from 1 species